ensembl:lncRNA
AUUUUAUUUAGACAGAAAAGAGGAGAUGAUGGGGGAAGUACUUCUGUGUAUGUUUAUCUUAUUGAUUGUUAAAUAAAAUACUGUUUGGCCAAUGAGACAACAAGUAGCUGGGACUAGGAGUCAAAGAGGAUUCUGGGAAAUGUAGUAGAGAAAUGAUGAUCCAGACAGGAAAUGACAUAGCAAGGAGACUCAUAUUUAAGCGAAGGAGAAACAGGAAGGGCCCCCUUUUCCCCUCCGCUCCUGCUCCAGCAACAAGAUAUGAUCCCAGCAAGGAGAGAUGCCAACAAGACGUCCAAUAAGCAGGAGGAUCCUGAGUAUUGAACUCAAGUUGUCAGGUGUAGUAGCAGGUACCUUUACCUGCUGAGCCAUCUCACCAGUCCUGGAGCAAACCUGAUCUUAGAGUUCCUGCUUUCUAUAAAAACAGCAAGCUCAUCUUGAUAAUUGUACUGCAGGAGCACACAACUUCAUUAUUUUAAUGAAUUCCAGUCUUCCUUUACAAACAAGAAUCUCUUCUGAAAGAUUGCUAGCCAAACUUCAAAAAGACAGUAAAAGGAAGGUGAGGACGUUGAAGGGCUUUCUGAGAGUGGAGUGCAAGGCAAAGAUGACUUGGAUCUAGCCAGCUUUACACCCAUGACUAUUAGCUAAUUCCAUGGCCUCCAAAAGCCAUGCUUUGGAAACUUCAUCCUCAAUGGAGUUGAUGCUGGCAAGGUAGAAGCUAAAAGCAGGGAGUGGGGUUAGACCACAAGAACUGUACCCUGUGUACAAUGGCUACAUUGUACAAGGAGCCUUUUGGAAAGGGAAACAGUCGGUUGUCCAUUUAUUGCUUUCAACUUGAAAUACAUCCUUCAUUGUCUGUGCUGCAGUGUUAAGAGUUGAACCCUGGCUUUGUAGCCACCACUGUCCCCUGUCACCUCUUCCUGUAGCCAUGUCAACCCCACCGUGUUCUUCAGCAUCACAGCCGAUGGUGAGCCCUUGGCCUGCGUCUCCUUCGAGCUAUUUGCAGACAAAGUUCCAAAGACAGCAGAAAACUUUCUCUCUCUGAACAUUGGAGAGAAAGGAUUUGGAUAUUAGGGUUCCUCCUUUCACAGAAUUAUCCCAGGAUUCAUGUGCCAGGGUGGUGACUUCACAGCCAUAAUGGCACUGGUGGCAGGUCCAUCUGCGGAGAGAAAUUUGAGGAUGAGAACUUCAUCCUGAAACAUACAGGUUCUGGCAUCUUGUCCAUGGCAAAUGCUGGACCAAACACAAAUGGUUCUCAGUUUUUUUUUAUCUGCACCGCCAAGAGUGAGUGGCUGAAUGGCAAACAUGUGGAAGGUAAAAGAAAGCAUGAACAUUGUGGAAGCCACAGAGCGUUUCUGGUCCAGGAAUGGCAAGACCAGCAAGAAGAUCACCAUUUCUGACUGUGUGCAACUCUAACUCUUUUGACUUGCAGGCUUCUUACCUACCUGACCAUUCCUUCUGUAACUUAGGAGAGCAUCCCCACCACAACUGCUCGCAAUGCCCUGUAAUCUCUGCUCUCACUGAAAUUCUUUGGGUUCCAUAUUUUCCUCAUUCCUCUCCAAGUUUAGCUGGAUUGCAGAGUUAAGUUUAUGAUUAUGAAAUAAAAACUAAGUAAGAAAAAAAAAAGAGUUGGAGCCUUUAAAUAUUUCCACUUCGCCAGCUGGCACAGUGCAAAACUUCAUCAAUAGAAGAUGCUAGAAGGAUAAAGAGCUUCUCUCUGGGUUUUUAGAGUAUUCUCAGGAGCUCUCUGCAGCAUGCUGACUUCUUCAGCUCUAGCUCCAGCAUCACCAACCACCUGUCUAGUUCCAGGCCCUUUCAGUGUCUAGUGGUCAGCAACAUGG